GACGAACGCUGGCGGCGUGCCUAAUACAUGCAAGUUGAGCGAUGAAGAUUGGUGCUUGCGCCAAUUUGAAGAGCAGCGAACGGGUGAGUAACGCGUGGGGAAUCUGCCUUUGAGCGGGGGACAACAUUUGGAAACGAAUGCUAAUACCGCAUAACAACUUUAAACAUAAGUUUUAAGUUUGAAAGAUGCAAUUGCAUCACUCAAAGAUGAUCCCGCGUUGUAUUAGCUAGUUGGUGAGGUAAAGGCUCACCAAGGCGAUGAUACAUAGCCGACCUGAGAGGGUGAUCGGCCACAUUGGGACUGAGACACGGCCCAAACGCCUACGGGAGGCAGCAGUAGUGAAUCUUCGGCAAUGGACGAAAGUCUGACCGAGCAACGCCGCGUGAGGGAAGAAGGUUUUCGGAUCGGAAAACUCUGUUGGUAGAGAAGAACGUUGGUGAGAGUGGAAAGCUCAUCAAGUGACGGUAACUACCCAGAAAGCGACGGCUAACUACGUG
rnacentral:rRNA from 1 species